rnacentral:rRNA from 1 species
CAGUAGCCACGGUAAUACGUAGGGUGCAAGCGUUAAUCGGAAUUACUGGGCGUAAAGCGUGCGCAGGCGGUUAUAUAAGACAGUCGUGAAAUCCCCGGGCUCAACCUGGGAACUGCGAUUGUGACUGUAUGGCUAGAGUGUGUCAGAGGGGGGUAGAAUUCCACGUGUAGCAGUGAAAUGCGUAGAUAUGUGGAGGAAUACCGAUGGCGAAGGCAGCCCCCUGGGAUAACACUGACGCUCAUGCACGAAAGCGUGGGGAGCAAACAGGAUUAGAUACCCGCGUAGUCCCUGUCUCUUAUAC